UACGGAGGGUGCAAGCGUUAAUCGGAAUUACUGGGCGUAAAGCGUGCGUAGUCGGUUAUUUAAGUCGGAUGUGAAAUCCCCGGGCUCAACCUGGGAAUUGCAUUCGAUACUGGAUAGCUAGAGUUCGGCAGAGGGAAGUGGAAUUUCGGGUGUAGCGGUGAAAUGCGUAGAUAUCCGAAGGAACAUCAGUGGCGAAAGCGACUUCCUGGACCAGAACUGACGAUCAGGCACGAAAGCGUGGGGAGCAAACAGG
rnacentral:rRNA from 1 species